CAGGUCAGUGGUGUUAAAAAUUGGCCGCAAAGAAUAGGAAAUGGACAUGUUUUGGACACACCUAUAGUACAACGUGAAGUAGCUUUGAUAUGGAGCGUGAUGGAUCGCGGUGUACUAGGGUCGUUUACACUGGUUCACGUGGUCUGGACCGCGUGGGUAGCCAGAGCAAAUAAUUGUACGAGAGCCGCAGCAUGAAGUAGCGCCAUACGGUUUCCUCGACGCAACUACAGUAUAUCCAAGCCUCGUUUUGAGCCAGCGGUCUUCAAAUGGAAGAGCAAUGGCCGUGCCCUCGGGGGGUGAGGUUUGAGAAGUGGCGGCUUUCCAACGUUGUCCCUUUACGCAUCUCCAUAUCCUUCGUCCUUUACAGCACAUAUGGUUCAGGGACCCCAAUACAGCUAUCGAGUGCUGCUCAUUAAUGUUUCUGCUGCACGUCGAUAGAAACUAGUCAUCUGGAAGGAAGUUGCAGGGUUACAGCAACACACAAACAGAGUCAUUUGGAGCCUAUGCACGCAGCAUCUGACACAAGGCAGGAGGAAAUGCAAAAUAGAGACUUCCAACUUUCGCAGGAUAUAGCGGGUUGGAUAAUGGAUAGAUGGAUGGACUUCCAACAUUCAUGUCCUCAUUCGUGUAGGAUACAUUUAGAAAUGCUAAUCAACCCGACAUGCUUGGCUUUUUAUGCCACUUAAGAAACAGCGUGAAGACAUGAAGAACAUGCAAGUCCUGCACAAGGCAGCAAUCGGCUCACAAUUCACACCCAUUUAGAGCUUCAGGAUGACUCAUUGUAUAUUCACUUUUUGAAUACCUUCAAUGUGUCCGGAUUGGUGGAUUGCACAUUUACGAAGGUGCGGAUCAUCCUUUCUACAACAGAUAAGCUGUGAGACGUGUUCACUCUCAAGUAAUUAUUGGAGAAAUGCUUGGCAUGGAAAAAGGGAGCCAGUCUGUAUCUGUAUUCAUCCUUUGGGUGAGGAAUAAAGCCGAGGUCCUGGCAUCUCUGUAGGCAUAAAAGACCCCUCCCUGUUAAAAGCAGUUGUCCACCUUGGCCUGGUCAUUCUGGCCCCCUAAUCAUCCCCAGUCUCCAAUCUGUCAUCCCUCUCACCCCUUCACCACCUAAUAGCUAAUGUGGUGGGGAGUGUGCUGGUGCAAGUAUGGCUGCCAUCGCGUCAUUAAGGUGGAUGCUACACAUUGAUGGUGGCUGAAAUGGCUCCCCACUGUCUACUUAAAGCGCUUUGAGUAGGCUAAAAAAGAAAACGGUGUAAUUGAAAUUAUUAUUGAUUAUACAGUUGAGAUUAGAAGAGUGAGUUCACUUCUUUAUGAAACAAAAUGUUUUGCUAAACGAAUACUGUUGGGUAUUUUUUAACUGUAAUGCUAAAUGGGAGAAUGGGACUUCAUUAAACAAAGAUUUAAUUCAAGAUGCCCUGUGAGCAAGCAGUCAGUUUACUGGAAACCAGCAGACACAGCCUACAGUCCAGCCAGGACUAUGGAUCUCAAGUAAAUGGAAGUCAGAUCCACAUAAAUUACACUGAUGCUGAAUGUUUGUAAAACAUAGUCUUAACACAACUCAAAAUUGGGCAUCGUAUGCAUUUUAAAAUGUAUCCUGGUCGAGAAGUGUCCGUGGGCACCGGCUUUACCAGGUGGUCUUAUCAUCUGAGAAGGUCCCACGCUCAAACGCUACUGGACCAGAAUCUUUGCUCACUGCAGAUAUCCCAAGAUGCACUGUUGUGGUCAAUGGACUGAGCUUCUGAGUGCUGACAGUGGAGUGUCCCUGAGUAUUACCCUCUUUUACAUGGGGUAGGGUGUGGGUAAGAUGCAGUACUUCAUGCCUUACCGACCUACUGUAUAAUGUAUUCAUUUUAACAAAACCUUUAAAGCAAGAGAUUGUGGAAGACGUCACAGACAUCAUGACACACGUAUAAGUGAUUUAUCACAAAGUAGCUAAAAUGUACUUUUGUUCAUUAAGCCUCGUUUUGAUACGUCUCUGGAUUUACAAUCUCUAAACUGCCCAGUACAGGGAAAGUGAUUGGAACAAGAGUCCAUAUAAGAAUAGCAACUGGUAAUAUAUAAAGCAUAGUCACAAAAACAAGGGAGAUGGUCACAAAAAGCUUGCACAAGCAACACGAAAGCAAGACAGAUGUGAAUAAUACAAGGAUGUCGCCAAGACACCGAUACAGCCAUCUCAGCUGCUGACGUCUACCGAAGUUGUGUGAUUGUAUGCGAGUCACUUGUAAUGCUUUAUGCAUAUCGGGAGUCAUGGAACCAGGCCAUCAGUGUGCCCCAAACGCGAUCACACGCAGUCCUGGGUGCAAAUAAAGAUGUGUUUAUUAAACUCCACAAGGUUACAAAAGCACAGGUUUUCUUUCUCCACAAAUCAAUUCUCCUUACAAUUCCUCUCACUGCCGCACUGCCCUCCUCCAGUCAAGUGUCGCUCCACGUCCUCCCAGCACCAACUCUCCUGGAUUAGCGGGCUGCAAUCCCAUUUAUUAAACACUCGGGAGUCCUUCUGGUGCCCUAUGGAAGUACUUACAGAUCAUACAGAAGUCCCAUAAACUGGCAAGCGCAUCUCCUGACAUCGUCCCCUUGCCGCACCCAUGGCCCCCAGCAGGGCUGUGUUGCCGGACUACAUCUCCCAGUAUUCCCUGCUGGCUCCCAAAUGGGCACUGAUACAGAGGACUGCUGCCAUCUCAUGUCCUGCGUCUUUUACAGUUGAUGGGUUGUCCAUCCAUCUCUUCUGGGUCUGGCUCCUUCCUCUCUCCUUGUUGGGAUACCCAUCUGGGUAAGGAACCAUCUCCUUUCCUGCUUGGGAUGCCCGUCCAACCCUUGUGGCAUUUAUAUAGGUUUCACUUUUUUACACAAAUGUAUCUAAGAACUUUUAGAGCACUGGGUCUCAAGAUCAGACCUGCGAGGCUCUUGUUGUUGGGAGAUUUCUGCUGCAGUCUGCUUCCUAAGCUGUGAGCCAUUUUUACCUUCUAGUUGAUCUCAUUGUUUUAAUUAGCUGCGCUUUUUAUUUCUUCUCUUAUUUUGCAUUAAAAAAUGUGCACUAGUGUUAGAUUUAAAUUUAUAAGAAAUAAAAAAAUGUCAUUUUUUGCCAUAUUUUUAAAUGCUUAACUCUUGCCUGUUUAUGUUUUAAUGCACUUUUUAAGUGUGGUGUUUGCUCUCUCAGUUGUACCCGAAUACUGGGCAUUCAUGACAAGCACAGAAGACGCCAGUGACAGUGACAGUCACUGCUAAAGGGCAGCAGUUGUAGCGUUACCCGCUUGUGUGAUUGUCAGUAAAUACUGGUGGAAAUAACCAGAAAAUGAAAAACAAGGAAAUGCUAAAAAAACAUCCAAGCAUUCCUAUGCACGGACAUCCUGCUUCACCCAGUAAACAUUUAGUCUGUGAUUUCUUCACUUGCACAGAGCAGAACCAACACGCUUAAUUAACAUGAAGUCCAAUUAAAUGGUGAAAUGGGUGGGGAUGGAAACCUGCAGCUAAGGGGGUCUCCAGGACUGCACUUGAGAAGCACUGUUUCAGAGCAGGGGCCUGCAAAUCCGGUGCUGGAGGUCCGUGGUAGCUUUAGCUUUCUGUUUCAAUCUGACUGCUUAAUAUGAAAGCAAUCCGCGUCAAUACCAAAAAUCUCAUUGGAUGUCCUGGUCAUGUCAGGUCACUCUUACAUCGUGUCCAAGGAGCUCAUUCAAAUGAAUGAUGAGUAACUCCCUUCAGUUUCCUUCCAUAUAUUUUAUUAAACCAGAAAGUUCAUGAUGAACACCCACAAGUGUAAAUGGAAAACUAGUUUCCUUUCUCAUUUGCAUUUUUUAUUGUUAACUAGGAGGCUCCGCCCCCUGCUCGCCCACCCCC